GAACUUCUGCAUGCUGCAGGCAUGGCCAAACAAAACAAAAUACAAAAGUCCAACCAUAUGCUCUUUAUGAGAGAGACAUCUAAAACAUACGGAUACCAGUAGAUUGAAAUAAUGGAAUUAAGUUACGCCGUGGUAGGUAUUAUUACAUAAAACUUAAGGCAGAAUGCAUUACUAACAGUAAAGGUCAUUGUAUAAUAAAAAUUCCCAAUCACCAGAAGUAUCUACUAAUUCUAGAUUCUACUUACGACUUCAAAACACAUGAAGCAAAAAUUGGUCAUCUACAAGGAGAAAUAUAUAAAUGUACAAUCACGGCGAGAGAUUUUAACACAUUAAAAUCCCGAGGGCAAUCCUUACCUCGUGCAGGAUGAGAACCAAGCAGUAGGAAAAUAAUCACCACGUCACCCUCAAGUGGUGAUUCUACAUGGCUCUUCAGACAGUCCCCAGAAAAGUAAAGCCCAUUUCCUCUCAGCAGAGAUCAGCUCAGUAGAACAUUGAAUUGGAUUGUCUUCCUUCCUUGUCUUGCUCUCCCCAGACCCCGUUCUUUUUCCCUUGGACUCAUCCCAGAGUAAAUUCUUGCAUGCAAAGUACUUCUCUCAACCCUGCUACUUUGUGGACCCAGGCUAAGACACUUGGUGAUACAAGCAGUUCUACAAACAAACCGUCCAAAUGGAUUCUAGUAUUGGACCAACUGGAUCCAGUAAGGAUCCCAGUCAUGUUGGUAAAUGGGGUGACCUUGACCCUUGGCACGCAGCAGCAUCACAGUUGCUGAGGUUUUCACCAGCAGUGAAUUGGAAUGGUGAAUUCGGAAGAUGAGGCAUUGCUUUAUGUAGUGGCAAUUCAUAAAAAAAUACGUGGUCAAUGUUAAUUAUAGGGAAUGUAGAGCUGGCUGACUCUGGUUGCUGGUCUUUAGAAGUCUUGUGAGAGGAGAGGAAAAUGGCAGCUUGAUUGGCCAACUGUCAACCUCAAGGAAUGCUGUGCAACUGGGAAAGUUUCCAGGACAACAGAGAAAUGUCCCUCUCCCCCCAACAGCCCUAGGAAGAUAGUUGCCAUUCAUCUCAGGCUUUAAUUGUGAGUACAGCUCGGUUACCAAGGAGAACACAGCCUUAAGGAGACUCUGAGGUCAGUGUCAGGGCCCAGCUAAGGAAACAGCAGACCUUGAGACAUGGGGUAAGGGUAUUUGAAUGGACAAAUCUGAGACCCUUGAACCCCACAUUCCUCUGAUCCCAGGAACUGUCCCUCCUCCUUCCUGGAGAGGAAUGGUCUUCCCUGGCUGCAGACACUGCGAAGACACCACUAGAGGCAGGAGCUUCACAAGGUGGGGUUCGUCCUAAGAUCUGCCUCUACCUCCUUUGUUUCCUCCAGACCAGCCGUCAAGUCAGGCGCAGCCCAAGCAAGAUGAUCCAGCUCCUCCUUUCGGGAGACACUGUGUGUACUCAAAGGGUCGAAAGUGUUGGUUAACAGGCACUAAAGGUGAACCGGAGACCUCAUGUUGGACUGGGUCUUAAGGAGCAGCCAAGGAAAGAUGCCUCCUUGUGUUUCAGUUUCUUCAACUGUCAAAUCUGAGUGCCUGAGUGCCUGAGUGCCUGUCCAACCUACUUUAUAUACUUAUUAGAGUAAAUGAAGAAAUUAAUAUUAUAGUGAACUCUGCUAGGGACUAUACUAGGCACUUCACAUAAAUUAUUUAAUUAGGAUAAAAUUGGGCAAGUGUAAACACUUAAUCUAGUUCUAAACUUGUUUAGAACACAAACACAACAUUGUAAUCAACUACACGCCAAUACAUUUUUUAAAAGAAGACUUAAAUGUGUUAUUUUUAAUAGCAUGCCCUAGGAAAAAUGCAGAUUUGUGAAACCUUGUUGCCUAAAAGGAAAGAAGAAAAGGAAGCCGGUGUUUCAAAAACUCAGACAUAUUAGAAUAUAGCAUUGAGUAAGCUGUUGUCUUGUUUGGGGGAAGGUGGACCAUCUGAAGAGGGCUUUAGGGACAGUUCUAGUCAUUGACCUUGGGAGAAGCAGGGUAGGAACAGUGCUGCUGCGGAAGCUGAGAGAGCAGUUCUGUGUCCAGUGGAGCACAGUGAACUCCUGGGUGGCACCUGUGGUGUCUUGGGUAACGCAUGGCCUCCCACCCAGACUGCCUCGGUUGGAAUCCCAGCUCUGGCGCUCAGCCCACUGGGGGAUAUUGGACAGGUAGUUACAAAACUCCAUUUUAUGGAGUUCCCUGGUGGCACAGCAGGUGAAGAAUUUGACCUUGGUAGUGCUGCAGCUCAGGUCACUGGUGUGGCAUGGGUUCCACCUCUGGCCUGGGAACUUCCGUAUGCCGGGGACACGG
rnacentral:lncRNA from 1 species